CCCACAGUAGGAGAUGGAACUCCCAAAAAUCACACCAGGCUCACUCCUAUUCCCCACCUUCCUUGAUCCUGUGCUGCUCAUGCCACAGUCUUUCUCCACCUGCCAGACAGGCACACACACAUCAGGUGCUGAGUCUUCCUUUCAAGGGCUUGCCCUCCCAAGUACAGAACAGGAACAGACCUUCCAUGUGUUUAUUCAUACAAUGUGGGAGACAUGUGGCAGUCCUUAUCCCGCCUGAUGCUUUCUCCAACAGAGAAAAGACAGCCGACCUUCUGCUCUAGCAUGUGAGCUGCAGCACCAUGAAAACCCAAUUUGAGAAGUUUUCUGUGAGGCACGGCAAAAGAAACAAGAAAGCAGAGAAAGCCUAUGUGAUAGCGAUACAGUGUGACAUUACAGAUGAUGACUCAAAGUAUGGGGAUAAUGUACACUUCCAUGUACUGCGCUAUUCAGCACAGCAAAGUUCUGGUGGCAGAACUGCUACAAGGCAGCAGCUGAGAUCAGCCACAUCUGACAGUGAAACGAUGUCAAUGUCAGUGCUUCAAAAACAGCAGUUCAAUCCAUAAUGAA